AUGGUUGCCGUGGCGGCCGAGGGCCCGAUCCGCGCCGAUGCCGUGCCGGCGGCGGCUGGGGCGGGCGCGGAGAGGGCCGAUGCGGCGGGCGCGGGCGGGGCGGCGGCGGCCAAGGCCAGGGAGGACGAGGUCAGGGAGUACAAGAGUGACGUGAGGAAGCUGGAGGAGCUGUUCAAGAAGCUGAACCCCUCCGCGGAGGAGUUCGUGCCGCUCUCCCGCCGCCAGGGGGACGGCGCACGCCGCCUGUCGGCCGACGCGCCAGUCUUCGUCUCGCCCGCGAUCGACUACUAUGCGCCCCACCACCCGUUCCAGCAUCAGCAGAUGCACGUGCUGCAGGUGGUCGGUGGCGGGGGCGGAGCGGGCAGAGACUCCAGCAGCGACGGAUCCGCCAACGGCCAGCCGAAUCGACGGAGAAGGAAUGGCUUCAACCAGGGGAGACGUAGGAUGGGAGUUCGGCCAAGGCGAACUGAUAGGGAGGAUAGUGUACGGCGAACUGUCUAUGUCUCAGACAUUGAUCAACAUGUCACUGAACAGAAGCUUGCUGAGGUUUUCUCAAACUGUGGUCAAGUGGUAGAUUGCCGUAUCUGUGGUGAUCCAAACUCAGUGAUGCGCUUUGCUUUUAUCGAGUUCGCCGAUGAUGUCGGUGCAAGAGCAGCUCUAACGCUUGGUGGAACCAUUCUUGGUUUUUAUCCUGUCAGAGUUCUGCCAUCUAAGACUGCAAUUUUGCCCGUGAACCCCAAAUUUCUUCCUCGAACUGAGGACGAGAAAGAAAUGGUAUCCAGGACUGUGUACUGUACUAACAUUGACAAAAAUGUUCCAGAGGAUGUUGUGAAGAAUUUCUUUGAGGGAAUUUGUGGGGAGGUUGCUCGACUGAGGCUGCUCGGUGAUUACGUGCAUGCCACGUGCAUUGCCUUUGUUGAGUUUGUUCAGGCAGAAGGAGCAAUUUUGGCCCUGAACUGCAGUGGCAUGCUUCUUGGCUCCCUUCCUGUCAGGGUGAGCCCAUCCAAGACCCCAGUCCGCCCCCGUUCGCCUCGCGCGAUGUUGCACUGA
rnacentral:rRNA from 1 species